rnacentral:tRNA from 1 species
GCCUGGGUGGCUCAGUCAGUUAAGUGUCUGACUUUGGCUCAGGUCAUGAUCUUGCUGUUCGUGAGUUCAAGCCCCACCUCAGGCU